GAUGAAGAACGCAGCGAAAUGCGAUAAGUAAUGCGAAUUGCAGAAUUCCAGUGAGUCAUCGAAUCUUUGAACGCACAUUGCGCCCGCCAGUAUUCUGGCGGGCAUGCCUGUCCGAGCGUCAUUUCAACCCUCGCGCCCAUCUGGGCUGCGGUGUUGGGGACCGGCCUGCCCCCCGGGGCGCGCCGCCCCCCAAAUUCAGUGGCGGUCUCGCUGCAGCCUCCCUUGCGUAGUAGCACACCUCGCACCGGAGCGCAGCGCGGCCACGCCGUAAAACCCCCGACCCCCAUGAGUUUGACCUCGGAUCAGGUAGGAAUACCCGCUGAACUUAAGCAUAUCAAUAAGCGGAGGA
rnacentral:misc_RNA from 1 species